rnacentral:rRNA from 1 species
AGUGAACGCUGGCGGUAGGCCUAACACAUGCAAGUCGAACGGCAGCACAGUAAGAGCUUGCUCUUACGGGUGGCGAGUGGCGGACGGGUGAGGAAUACAUCGGAAUCUACUUUUUCGUGGGGGAUAACGUAGGUAAACUUACGCUAAUACCGCAUACGACCUACGGGUGAAAGGAGGGGAUCUUCGGACCUUGCGCGAUUGAAUGAGCCGAUGUCGGAUUAGCUAGUUGGCGGGGUAAAGGCCCACCAAGGCGACGAUCCGUAGCUGGUCUGGGAGGAUGAUCAGCCACACUGGAGCUGAGCCACGGUCCAGGCUCCUACGGGAGGCAGCAGUGGGGAAUGUUGGACAAUGGGCGCAAGCAUGAUCCAGCCAUACCGCGUGGGUGAAGAAGGCCUUCGGGUUGUAAAGCCCUUUUGUUGGGAAAGAAAAGCAGCAGGUUAAUACCCCGCUGUUCUGACGGUACCCAAAGAAUAAGCACCGGCUAACUUCGUG